CCUACGUGUGGCAGCAGUGAGGAAUAUUGGUCAAUGGGCGUAAGCCUGAACCAGCCAAGUCGCGUGAGGGACGACGGCCCUACGGGUUGUAAACCUCUUUUGCCGGGGGACAAACGGCGGCACGCGUGCCGUCCUGAGGGUACCCGGAGAAAAAGCAUCGGCUAACUCCGUGCCAGCAGCCGCGGUAAUACGGAGGAUGCGAGCGUUAUCCGGAUUUAUUGGGUUUAAAGGGUGCGUAGGCGGAAUGCCAAGUCAGCGGUAAAAUCGCGGGGCUCAACCUCGCUCCGCCGUUGAAACUGGCGUUCUUGAGUGGGCGAGAAGUAUGCGGAAUGCGUGGUGUAGCGGUGAAAUGCAUAGAUAUCACGCAGAACUCCGAUUGCGAAGGCAGCAUACCGGCGCCCAACUGACGCUGAAGCACGAAAGCGUGGGUAUCGAACAGGAUUAGAUACCCGAGUAGUC
rnacentral:rRNA from 1 species